rnacentral:lncRNA from 1 species
GCGUAGAUCCGAAGCGUUCUAUUCAGUUCAAUCGAACACAUCUCAAAUGCCUUUGUCUUUGGUCAUUUUGACUUAAUUUGAGGAUAAUCUUUAAGCUCGAAAUCAUCUGCCAGGGAAUCAAAAGAAAAUUGAAUACUGGAGAUGAAAUCACGGGUUGAAGGAGGUCGGUGGUUUUGGAAAGUUGCAGGUCGAAGAUGAA